rnacentral:rRNA from 1 species
GCAAGUCGAGCGCACCCUUUGGGGCGAGCGGCGGACGGGUUAGUAACGCGUGGGAACGUACCCUUCUCUACGGAAUAGCCUCGGGAAACUGAGAGUAAUACCGUAUACGCCCUUCGGGGGAAAGAUUUAUCGGAGAAGGAUCGGCCCGCGUUAGAUUAGAUAGUUGGUGGGGUAAUGGCCUACCAAGUCUACGAUCUAUAGCUGGUUUUAGAGGAUGAUC